CGAAAUUUUGACAGAUUCCGAUAAAAAAAUAUUAAAAAACUCAGUCAUGUUUUUUUUCUAUUAUUUUGUUCAUCGCAAUUUGUCAAAAUUUUUUGGUCGUGAAUUUUAUUUUAUGAUGCAAUAUUUGAUAAUCGAAUGCACGCUCGAACAAACGCAGAUUCAGUCGCAACGGUGAAAAGUUAUACGAUAGGUGAAUAAGUUGAAAGAAUGGUGAAAACUCAUGCAAACUUUCAAAAUCACUAGAGCAGUCUUUUUCAUCAGCACCAUCCAUCGAUCUACCAUAGAUUAGUGUCGUUGCGAAAAAGUGUAAAGUUCCGUUGUCCCAAAUCACCCGAUAACUUUCUUUCGGAAGCCAAAUUGCCAGUUUGGAUUUCUAGCUUAUGCAUCGAGGCGUGCUGUAUGACGGGACGGAAUAUUCUAAAUUCAAUAUCCAGUAGUAGCAAACAGGCAUUAACAAUAUGGUUUCGAUAGUCAUGGGCAUUCUGGAGCUAUCUCGCAAAGUGGGUUUCGUCACCGGCUACGAAUCGAUUACUAUGGAAAACGCCCACACUGGAAGGCAAAAUGCAUUUCUCGCUGCGGUCAGGCCACGCACCGUUUGGGCUCCCUCCAGAAAAAAAUUAAAUCACUGCACCGGAAACUGUCGGAAGUGUUUACUUGUUCAAAACCGACAGCUAAAGUUUUCAGAAAUUAUAUUUUUGUGAUAGUUUGACUGAACAUCUUUUUUUCUCAAGAGCAAACCCAAGCAUGCUAAUUAUAUGGUGGAUGUAUAUGUGUAGUUACGUGGAGCAUGCCAACUAGGAUCGAUUACGGAUCCAAGACAAUCUCGGUACAUAUACGUCUGAAGAAACACAAGAUGUUUUAUACUAUUGUCACUUCCGAUGUGGCAGUUUUCAUGUCGCCACGCAUGUUAUGCCCAACUGGCUCAUGAUUUUCGCAUCAUUGACAUAAAUAAAUAAAUAGUGUCGAUAUCAUUUCGUACUUCAGAUAGUGCGAUACUAUUGGA